CAGCAGCCGCGGUAAUACGUAGGUCCCGAGCGUUGUCCGGAUUUAUUGGGCGUAAAGCGAGCGCAGGCGGUUAGAUAAGUCUGAAGUUAAAGGCUGUGGCUUAACCAUAGUACGCUUUGGAAACUGUUUAACUUGAGUGCAGAAGGGGAGAGUGGAAUUCCAUGUGUAGCGGUGAAAUGCGUAGAUAUAUGGAGGAACACCGGUGGCGAAAGCGGCUCUCUGGUCUGUAACUGACGCUGAGGCUCGAAAGGGUGGGGAGCAAACAGGAUUAGAUACCCCUGUAGUCCCUGUCUCUUAUACA
rnacentral:rRNA from 1 species